UACAGAGGUCCCAAGCGUUGUUCGGAUUCACUGGGCGUAAAGGGUGCGUAGGUGGUGAGGUAAGUCUGAUGUGAAAUCUUCAGGCUCAACUUGGAAAUGGCAUUGGAAACUACCUUGCUGGAGGUUUGGAGGGGGGACUGGAAUUCUCGGUGUAGCAGUGAAAUGCGUAGAUAUCGAGAGGAACACCGGUGGCGAAGGGGAGUCCCUGGACAACACCUGACACUGAGGCACGAAAGCUAGGGGAGCAAACAGG
rnacentral:misc_RNA from 1 species